AACGAACGCUGGCGGCAGGCUUAACACAUGCAAGUCGAACGGGCGUAGCAAUACGUCAGUGGCAGACGGGUGAGUAACACGUGGGAACCUUCCUAGGGGUACGGAACAACUCAGGGAAACUUGAGCUAAUACCGUUUACGUCCGAGAGGAGAAAGAUUUAUCGCCCUUAGACGGGCCCGCGUCAGAUUAGGUAGUUGGUGGGGUAACGGCCUACCAAGCCUACGAUCCGUAGCUGAUCUGAGAGGAUGAUCAGCCACACUGGGACUGAGACACGGCCCAGACUCCUACGGGAGGCAGCAGUGGGGAAUCUUGGACAAUGGGCGCAAGCCUGAUCCAGCCAUGCCGCGUGAGUGAAGAAGGCCUUAGGGUUGUAAAGCUCUUUUGGCAGGGACGAUAAUGACGGUACCUGCAGAAUAAGCCCCGGCAAACUUCGUGCCAGCCGCCGCCGUAAAAC
rnacentral:rRNA from 1 species